GUUUUUAUAGUUUAAAAAACAUUGGUCUUGUAAACCAAAGAUAAAUAAAUAUUUUAAAAGCU
rnacentral:tRNA from 1 species